rnacentral:pre_miRNA from 1 species
AUGCAGAAGUGCACGGAAACAGCUAUUUGCUAUUGAAAAGUUGGCUGUUACUGUUCUUCUGAUGG